UAGGGAAUAUUAGAAAUGGACGAAAGUCUGAUCUAGCAACACCGCGUGUGCGAAGAAGGCCUUCGGGUUGUAAAGCACUUUUUGGAAGGAUUAGGAAGGAAUGUACUUCCAGAAUAAGUCUCGGCUAACUACGUGCCAGCAGCCGCGGUAACACGUAGGAGGCAAACGUUAUCCGGAUUUACUGGGCGUAAAGCGCGUGUAGGUGGUUCUGUAAGUAGGGCGUGAAAGCUCCUGGCUCAACUGGGAGAGGCCGUUCUAAACUGCAGAGCUAGAGGAUGGUAGAGGGGGGUGGAAUUCCGGGUGUAGCGGUGGAAUGCGCAGAUAUACGGAGGAACACCAGUGGCGAAAGCGGCCUCCUGGACCAUUCCUGACACUCAGACGCGAAAGCUAGGGUAGCAAACG
rnacentral:rRNA from 1 species